GUCCCGCCAAUUAAAAUUGGAGCACAUUGAUGCGCCAGAUUAAAGGGUAUGUUGGUUUAGUGCAUCAGUUGCAGCAGGGAAGGGGACUUUUGCUGUUGUACUUCAACUCCUAUCAGCCCCAGGCAGUAGGGCUAUUGAUGGAAGUCCAGCAACACCUCGCUCGCAGCGCACAGAUUUUGUGCCCCUGAACUAGAACAGCAAAACCAGCAGUAUCUGCUUACCUUGACUUUGUGAUGUCAGGAGUGGAGUCAGUGUGACGGAACCACAGAAGGAAGCGUAGAGUAUCACAGCCACAUAAAACUUGCCAAAAGUCUAGUGGCUGCAUUAGAGAAGAAAUGUGGAUUGGCUGGUGCCUUCUAAGCCUUUGGCUUUUGGAAAUAGGAAGCUCAAAUGCUCGCAUCGACCAAACACCGGGUUUAGUGCUGAGAGAAGGCGACACUGCGCAGCUGGAAUGCAGUCAUACGGAGUCGCACUACUAUGUGUUCUGGUACCGGCAGGAUGUAAAUCGAGCUCUGCAGUUUCUCUAUUUUUUCCAGUAUCGAGAGCUUGUGGAGAACAGCAGCAGUCUUUCUGAACGGUUCGCAGCCGAGCAGCCUCAGACUCAGCGCCUUCAGCUGAAGAUUUCCUCUGUGAAACAAGAGGAUUCGUCCGUCUACUUCUGUGCAACCAGUGUUGACACAGUGGUUCAAAGUAAUGCUUCCCACCUACAAAAACAUUGCAUAUGUAUGAGUGUCUGAGGGUGGAACAAGACAGACACGAUCCUGUGUGUUUUUCUCAUAACACUCAUGCUGGGAAUUUGGGCAGUAUUUGAAUAGACAAAUCAGUGGAUGAGAGAGGAAGUGCUUAACCUCUGCCCUGCCUGCAGAAACCCAGCUGGAUGGGCGG